CUCUGAGGCUUUUGGAGCACAGAAAAUGAGGAUAAAAGAAAUCAUUAAUAGAGCGAAUAAUGAAUGUGUUUAUGCAUAUGAGUAGGUGGUCGGGCUCAGCUGAUGAAGGAAGGGGGUAGUUGAUGACAAGAUGAAGGGAUAGAGCAACUGAUAGAGGAGGAAGGGCCUUUUGUUUUCUGCCCUGCAAAUGUGACAUUCACUCUAGAUAUGGAAAGCUAUGCAACUUCCAGACAACUUGCUAUCGGUGGACACUGAAAAGCUUUUGCAUUGCAAAGCGCAUAUAUCAACAGAAUAUAUCAACAUGUAUAAAUAUCAGCUACUGUAAUUUGUUUACAUUUAAAAUCUUGAUGAUUAAGUGAUCAAAUUAUUUGUUAGAAUAUUGUGUAACACAGUACAGGAAGGGCUAUGAGUAUGAAAAAUGUCUGACUACUUUUCAUGUCCCUAUGAAUCAUUACUCAGAGAAUCAUGUGUUUUAUACGUAAAUUGUGUCCUGUGUUAAGUUGUGUUGUCCUAGAAGAUAGCUUAUCUUAACAUUAAGUAUGUCUUCCAGCACAACACGACGUCGUUCGAAAUGUCUGGAAUUGAGGACGUAGUCAAACGUUUGUGACUUAAAGCGAGAUGAUAAGAUCAGCACGUCCACAGUGAACCCUUGUGACUAAUCUCUUUAUAUGAGUAUGUGCACAGAGAGGGAACUUUUCCUGCUUCCUCCUUUAUACGUAAAUUACUACGUUUAUGACCUUGUAUGAGCAAAUGCCCCAGAGUGAAUAUGUGCACAUAUGUGCAUAUCUGCUUUUUGAAUUUAGUAUAACAAAAACAUUUAAAGUAGCAGUGUAACAUAAUGAAAACAUUCCAGAUAGAAUGCAAGCGUAAAUCCAGAUCAGCUUCCUGUACAACGCCAGAACUAACACUUGGUGAAACGUGUAUGUAAGCUACAGUCCUGCUGUCAGGGGUCACGAGGCUGUUUGGAGUAGAUAAGCUCAGUUACGUUUGUAUUGGGCUCUGACCUUCACUCUCUGGCACCUGGCACAUAGCACCAAUCAAGAGUAUGUGCAAUUUAACUGAGAUCGAGGGCAUGGUGCAGAAUUUAUUCAGAUUGUAGGUUAGAUCGUAUUGCUAAUAUAGUAACUGAAUUUUUUAUGGCAAAAAAUUACCAUACAAAACUAAAGCCUUAAUGACUUAAUUUGAUUUGUUAAAGAUGCAUUGUAAUAGAAUAUACUAUGAGUUGACGUUGAUGGAUUGAAGCUUGCAAUAUAACAAUGCUCUAAAUCUCUUUCUCCUUCAGCAUUUUACACUUGGUGAGCGUCUCCAUUUUAAUAAUAGUGCCAUUGUUAUGCAAUGCCUCAGCUUGACUUGUCCCUGGUUACUGCAUUAAGAAUACAUUUUUGUGUGCGCAGAGUACCAGCAUUGACUUAUUUUUAUCUGGUUUAUUGUUUGCUAGUUUGAAGUGGUGUGUCGUACAUACCACUCAGCAUUCGUAGUGGAAUUCUCUGAGCAGCUCAGUAGAUAUAAACCAUGCAUGCACACAUGCAUUUAUUGAUAAAACAACUGCUUUUUCAUAGAAGAUUGUAAUUUUCACACAUACAUUGAGCAGUGUUUCUGGUUCAAGAAAGACUAGUCUGGAAAAAAAAAAAUCUAGAAGGAAACAAACAUUUUGUGAGAGAAGCAUAAAACCAAUCUGUACAAUGCUUGUAUGUAAUGGCCACAAAAAUCACCUUGAAUACUGUUCACUUCAUAUUUUACCCUAUUUCUUCUAUGGGUUGCAAAAACAGGUCAUUUCAGUUUCUCUUGAAUAGGUUAAAUGUUUGCAUGUUGUUUUUUUCUUCUGUCAUUUCAGAUAUCAUGUGUUUACUGCCAUUAAUGUUAAACUUCUGAAUUUCUCACAAUUGGGCAACUAGCUGCAAACAGACAGGAGGUGGAACAGCUGGUGUGAUCUAACAGGGGCUAAAAACUCUCUAAACUCUGGAGAUUAUUGUGGAGAACAAGAGUAGCACCCAGCUCUGCUCUGCUCUGCUUCUAGCUCAGCUGUCACCACAGUCCUUAAAACUUCUUGCAACAAUCUCCUGGGAUCUCAAAUCAAGUGGAACACAGACUCAACCAUAAAACCAACGUGUACAAACAAUAAAUAUACUGCUCUUUUUGAAGAAUAAAUUUACCAGUAUAAAGGUUUAUGAUAAAUAAAAUAAACCAGUCAUGUAUGAUUA